rnacentral:rRNA from 1 species
AGUCGAGGGGCAGCAUAUAGAUUGCUUGCAUUUAUGAUGGCGACCGGCGCACGGGUGAGUAACGCGUAUCCAACCUACCCAUUACUAGGGAAUAACCCAGCGAAAGUUGGCCUAAUGCCCUAUGUAGUCGUUUGAUCGCCUGAGAUUUCGACGAAAGAUUUAUCGGUAUUGGAUGGGGAUGCGUCUGAUUAGCUUGUUGGCGGGGUAAAGGCCCACCAAGGCAACGAUCAGUAGGGGUUCUGAGAGGAAGGUCCCCCACAUUGGAACUGAGACACGGUCCAAACUCCUACGGGAGGCAGCAGUGAGGAAUAUUGGUCAAUGGGCGAGAGCCUGAACCAGCCAAGUAGCGUGCAGGAUGACGGCCCUAUGGGUUGUAAACUGCUUUUAUAUGGGAAUAAAGUGAGGGACGUGUCCCUUAUUGCAUGUACCAUAUGAAUAAGGACCGGCUAAUUCCGUGCCAGCAGCCGCGGUAAUACGGAAGGUCCAGGCGUUAUCCGGAUUUAUUGGGUUUAAAGGGAGCGUAGGCUGUUUGUUAAGCGUGUUGUGAAAUGUAAGAGCUCAACUUUUAGAUUGCAGCGCGAACUGGCAGACUUGAGUGCGCACAACGUAGGCGGAAUUCAUGGUGUAGCGGUGAAAUGCUUAGAUAUCAUGACGAACUCCG